GACGAACGCUGGCGGCGUGCUUAACACAUGCAAGUCGAACGGAAAGGCCCUGCUUUUGUGGGGUGCUCGAGUGGCGAACGGGUGAGUAACACGUGAGUAACCUGCCCUUGACUUUGGGAUAACUUCAGGAAACUGGGGCUAAUACCGGAUAGGAGCUCCUGCUACAUGGUGGGGGUUGGAAAGUUUCGGCGGUUGGGGAUGGACUCGCGGCUUAUCAGCUUGUUGGUGGGGUAGUGGCUUACCAAGGCUUUGACGGGUAGCCGGCCUGAGAGGGUGACCGGCCACAUUGGGACUGGGAUACGGCCCAGACUCCUACGGGAGGCAGCAGUGGGGAAUAUUGCACAAUGGGCGGAAGCCUGAUGCAGCAACGCCGCGUGCGGGAUGACGGCCUUCGGGUUGUAAACCGCUUUCGCCUGUGACGAAGCGUGAGUGACGGUAAUGGGUAAAGAAGCACCGGCUAACUACGUG
rnacentral:rRNA from 1 species